rnacentral:rRNA from 1 species
AACGAACGCUGGCGGCAUGCCUAACACAUGCAAGUCGAACGAGACCUUCGGGUCUAGUGGCGCACGGGUGAGUAACGCGUGGGAACCUGCCUUUAGGUUCGGAAUAACUCAGAGAAAUUUGAGCUAAUACCGGAUGAUGUCUUCGGACCAAGGAUUUAUCGCCUUUAGAUGGGCCCGCGUUGGAUUAGCUAGUUGGUGGAGUAAAGGCCUACCAAGGCGACGAUCCAUAGCUGGUCUGAGAGGAUGAUCAGCCACACUGGGACUGAGACACGGCCCAGACUCCUACGGGAGGCAGCAGUGGGGAAUAUUGGACAAUGGGCGAAAGCCUGAUCCAGCAAUGCCGCGUGAGUGAUGAAGGCCUUAGGGUUGUAAAGCUCUUUUACCCGAGAUGAUAAUGACAGUAUCGGGAGAAUAAGCUCCGGCUAACUCCGUG